rnacentral:rRNA from 1 species
GAUGAACGCUAGCGGCAGGCUUAACACAUGCAAGUCGAGGGGUAUAGUUCUUCGGAACUAGAGACCGGCGCACGGGUGCGUAACGCGUAUGCGAUCUACCUUUUACAGGGGGAUAGCCCAGAGAAAUUUGGAUUAAUACCCCAUAGUAUGUUAGAGUGGCAUCAUUUUAACAUUAAAGUUCCAUCGGUAAAAGAUGAGCAUGCGUCCCAUUAGCUAGAUGGUAAGGUAACGGCUUACCAUGGCGACGAUGGGUAGGGGUCCUGAGAGGGAGAUCCCCCACACUGGUACUGAGACACGGACCAGACUCCUACGGGAGGCAGCAGUGAGGAAUAUUGGACAAUGGGCGCAAGCCUGAUCCAGCCAUGCCGCGUGCAGGAAGACGGUCCUAUGGAUUGUAAACUGCUUUUGUACAGGAAGAAACACUCCCUCGUGAGGGAGCUUGACGGUACUGUAAGAAUAAGGAUCGGCUAACUCCGUGCCAGCAGCCGCUGUAACAC